AUUGAACGCUGGCGGCAGGCCUAACACAUGCAAGUCGAACGAGUGGCGGACGGGUGAGUAAUGUAUGGGAAACUGCCUGAUGGAGGGGGAUAACUACUGGAAACGGUAGCUAAUACCGCAUACCAUCGGAUGUGCCCAGAUGGGAUUAGAUAGUAGGUGGGGUAAAGGCUCACCUAGGCGACGCGCCCUAGCUGGUCUGAGAGGAUGACAAGCCACACUGGAACUGAGCCACGGUCCAUACUCUUACGUGAGGCAGCAGUGGGGAAUAUGGGACAAUGGGCGCAAGCCUGAUGCAGCCAUGCCGCGUGUAUGAAGAAGGCCUUCGGGUUGUAAAGUACUUUCAGCGGGGAGGCGGUACCCGCAGAAGAAGCACCGGCUAACUCCGUGCCAGCAGCCGCGGUAAUAC
rnacentral:rRNA from 1 species